UGGCCCAUCGGGGUGGCGGAUACCUGCUUUUUAAAAAUUUU
rfam:Macaca mulatta chromosome X, whole genome shotgun sequence.